rnacentral:rRNA from 1 species
CGGGGUGCAGCAGGCGCCGAAACCUCCUGCAAUAGGCGAAAGCCUGACAGGGUUACUCUGAGUGAUGCCCGCUAAGGGUAUCUUUCUGGCACCUCUAAAAAUGGUGCAGAAUAAGGGGUGGGCAAGUCUGGUGUCAGCCGCCGCGGUAAUACCAGCACCCCGAGUUGUCGGGACGAUUAUUGGGCCUAAAGCAUCCGUAGCCUGUUCUGCAAGUCCUCCGUUAAAUCCACCUGCUCAACGGAUGGGCUGCGGAGGAUACCGCAGAGCUAGGAGGCGGGAGAGGCAAACGGUACUCAGUGGGUAGGGGUAAAAUCCAUUGAUCUACUGAAGACCACCAGUGGCGAAGGCGGUUUGCCAGAACGCGCUCGACGGUGAGGGAUGAAAGCUGGGGGAGCAAACCGGAUUAGAUACCCGGGUAGUCCCAGCUGUAAACGAUGCAGCUCGGUGUAGUAGGGGUUUGCCUUCGAAGCCAACCAAGUGCCGCAGGGAAGCCGUUAAAGUCUGCCGCCUGGGGGAGUACGGUCGCAAAGACUGAAACUUAAAAGGAAUUGGCGGGGGAGCAC